rnacentral:rRNA from 1 species
GGAUCCAGACUUUGAUUCUGGCUCAGGACGAACGCUGGCGGCGCGCCUAACACAUGCAAGUCGAGCGGGAAGCUUUUUAAGGAUUCUUCGGAUGAAUUAAAAAGUGGAGAGCGGCGGACGGGUGAGUAACGCGUGAGAAACCUGCCCUAUACAGGGGGAUAGCCAUUGGAAACGAUGAUUAAUACCCCAUAUGACCACAGUAUCGCAUGAUACAGCGGUGAAAACUCCGGUGGUAUAGGAUGGUCUCGCGUCUGAUUAGCUAGUUGGUGGGGUAACGGCCUACCAAGGCGACGAUCAGUAGCCGGCCUGAGAGGGUGACCGGCCACACUGGAACUGAGACACGGUCCAGACUCCUACGGGAGGCAGCAGUGGGGAAUAUUGCACAAUGGGCGAAAGCCUGAUGCAGCGACGCCGCGUGAACGAUGAAGGCUUUCGAGUCGUAAAGUUCUGUUCUUGGGGAAGAUAACGACGGUACCCAAGGAGAAAGCACCGGCUAAAUACGUGCCAGCAGCCGCGGUAAU